CAGCAGCCGCGGUAAUACGAAGGGGGCUAGCGUUGUUCGGAUUUACUGGGCGUAAAGCGCACGUAGGCGGACUUUUAAGUCAGGGGUGAAAUCCCGGGGCUCAACCCCGGAACUGCCUUUGAUACUGGGAGUCUUGAGUUCGAGAGAGGUGAAUGGAAUUGCGAGUGUAGAGGUGAAAUUCGUAGAUAUUCGCAGGAACACCAGUGGCGAAGGCGGCUCACUGGCUCGAUACUGACGCUGAGGUGCGAAAGCGUGGGAAGCAAACAGGAUUAGAUACCCCUGUAGUCCCUGUCUCUUAUAC
rnacentral:rRNA from 1 species